rnacentral:rRNA from 1 species
CCUACGGGGGGCAGCAGUGAGGAAUAUUGGUCAAUGGACGAGAGUCUGAACCAGCCAAGUAGCGUGAAGGAUGACUGCCCUAUGGGUUGUAAACUUCUUUUAUAUGGGAAUAAAAUGUUCCACGUGUGGGUUUUUGUAUGUACCAUAUGAAUAAGGAUCGGCUAACUCCGUGCCAGCAGCCGCGGUAAUACGGAGGAGGCGAGCGUUAUCCGGAUUGACUGGGGGUAAAGGGUGCGUAGGUGGUUUGUCAAGUUAGUAGCGAAACUCCAAGGCUCAACCUUGAAACUACUACUAAUACUGGUAGACUGGAGUGCAGGAGGGGCAAGCGGAAUUCCUAGUGUAGCGGUGGAAUGCGUAGAUAUUAGGAAGAACACCAGUGGCGAAGGCGGGUUGCUAGACUGUAACUGACACUGAGGCACGAAAGCGUGGGGAGCAAACAGGAUUAGAUACCCCUGUAGUC